UGGGGAAUAUUGCACAAUGGGCGCAAGCCUGAUGCAGCCAUGCCGCGUGUAUGAAGAAGGCCUUCGGGUUGUAAAGUACUUUCAGCGGGGAGGAAGGCGAUAAGGUUAAUAACCUUGUCGAUUGACGUUACCCGCAGAAGAAGCACCGGCUAACUCCGUGCAAGCAGCCGCGGUAAUACGGAGGGUGCAAGCGUUAAUCGGAAUUACUGGGCGUAAAGCGCACGCAGGCGGUCUGUCAAGUCGGAUGUGAAAUCCCCGGGCUCAACCUGGGAACUGCAUUCGAAACUGGCAGGCUAGAGUCUUGUAGAGGGGGGUAGAAUUCCAGGUGUAGCGGUGAAAUGCGUAGAGAUCUGGAGGAAUACCGGUGGCGAAGGCGGCCCCCUGGACAAAGACUGACGCUCAGGUGCGAAAGCGUGGGGAGCAAACA
rnacentral:rRNA from 1 species